AUGAUGGUCAGCGGCGGCUUCUACUCCCUCGGUGACUGGAUAGCCCAGGCAUUUGAAUACUUUGGUGAAAUGCCAAUUACUUCUGUGGUGCUCGAGCACGACGACACGCCUACUGAGUUCCUAGCGCUCGCGAAUGCUAGAGUUGGACGCGCCCAUGCAUGCAUUUUAGCUCCGAGGAUGGCAUCGAGAACGUACACACUCAGGUGCUCCUCAGCAGCAGUUGAUCCAUGUGGGGUUCUAUUUGAGUUCCUUCGUCCCCUGGCAGUGAGGCAGCAAAUGAGGGUAUGGGAUGGAGGUGGCUCUAAUUUCGAGGCUGUGGUUUAUUGGGCUUAUAAUUUCGACAUGAUUAAUGAUAUGAACUGUUUUUCUAGAAGAAUUAGUUUACAUGUUACCGGUUCACUUGCUACAGCUGAAACAUAUUUUGAUGUUAUUGUUAUUGACUGGAGCACACUAAUCCUAAUCUAA
rnacentral:rRNA from 1 species